UACGGAGGGGGCUAGCGUUGUUCGGAAUUACUGGGCGUAAAGCGCGCGUAGGCGGACCUGCAAGUCGGGGGUGAAAGCCCGAGGCUCAACCUCGGAACUGCCUUCGAUACUGCGGGUCUCGAGUCCGGGAGAGGUGAGUGGAAUUCCUAGUGUAGAGGUGAAAUUCGUAGAUAUUAGGAAGAACACCAGUGGCGAAAGGCGGCUCACUGGCCCGGUACUGACGCUGAGGCGCGAAAGCGUGGGGAGCAAAACAGG
rnacentral:rRNA from 1 species